rnacentral:rRNA from 1 species
GUAGGGAAUAUUGCGCAAUGGGGGAAACCCUGACGCAGCGACGCCGCGUGAGUGAUGAAGGCUUUCGGGUCGUAAAGCUCUGUUGUACGGGAAGAACACAAUGACGGUACCGUAUAAGAAAGGACCGGCUAACUUCGUGCCAGCAGCCGCGGUAAGACGAGGGGUCCUAGCGUUGUUCGGAAUCAUUGGGCGUAAAGCGUAUGUAGGCUGCCAUAUAAGUCAGUUGUGAAAGCCCCGGGCUCAACCCGGGAAGUGCUUCUGAUACUGUGUGGCUUGAGUACUAGAGAGGAUAGUAGAAUUCCAGGUGUAGUGGUGAAAUACGUAGAUAUCUGGAGGAAUACCGGUGGCGAAGGCGGCUAUCUGGCUAAGUACUGACGCUGAGAUACGAAAGCGUGGGGAGCAAACAGG